rnacentral:rRNA from 1 species
GAUGAACGCUGGCGGCGUGCCUAAUACAUGCAAGUCGAGCGCACGGACGAGAAGCUUGCUUCUCUGAUGUUUGCGGCGGACGGGUGAGUAACACGUGGAUAACCUACCUAUAAGACUGGGAUCACUUCGGGAAACCGGAGCUAAUCCCGUAUAAUAUUUUGAACCGCAUGGUUCAAAAGUGAAGGACGGUCUUGCUGUCACUUAUAGAUGGAUCCGCGCUGCAUUAGCUAGUUGGUAAGGUAACGGCGUACCAAGGCAACGAUGCAUAGCCGACCUGAGAGGUUGAUCGGCCACACGGGAACUGAGCCACGGUCCAGACUCCUACGGGAGGCAGCAGAAGGGAAUCUUCCGCAAUGGGCGAAAGCCUGACGGAGCAACGCGGCGUGGGUGAUGAAGGUCUUCGGAUCGUAAAACUCUGUUAUUAGGGAAGAACAUAUGUGUAAGGAACUGUGCACAUCGUGACGGUACCUAAUCAGAAAGCCACGGCUAACUACGUG